ACUACAUAAAACAAAAACCCUUCCGAACAAAUUUUUAUUAUUGGAGCGAAUCAAUGGUUUGGGGUCUCUUUCCCGUUGAUCCACUUUCAGGUGAAGAUAAAUACUAUAUCUUUACAAAGGGGAUUUACAAGAUUGGCCGAAAGGGAUGUGAUAUAAUUAUCAAUAAGGAUAAGGGGGUAUCU